rnacentral:rRNA from 1 species
GCGAACUGCUCAGUAACACGUAGCUAACCUGCCCUAACUUCUGGAAUAACCUCGGGAAACUGAGGCUAACACCGGAUAGAGAAAAACCACUGGAAUGUAUUUUCUUCCAAGUUAGGAUGGGGCUGCGGCUGAUUAGCUUGUUGGCGGGGUAAUGGCCCACCAAGGCUUCGAUCAGUAAGGGCUCUUAGCGGAGGGGCCCUGAGAGGGAAUCUGAGACACUAUUCCCAGCCCUACGGGGUGCAGCAGUCGGGAAACUUCUGCAAUACACGAAAGUGUGACAGAGCGAGCCAGAGUGCGAUUCUAUAACUGAAUCGCUUUUAUGCGAUGUAAAAAGUCGCAUGAAUAAGGACUGGGUAAGACUGGUGCCAGCCGCCGCGGUAAUACCAGCGGUCCAAGUGGCAGCCGCGUUUAUUGGGUCUAAAACAUCCGUAGCUUGUUUCGUAAGUCUCUUGUGAAAUCUGGCCUCUCAAGGGUCAGGCGUGCAAGAGAUACUGCGUUGCUAGAGACCGGGAGGCGUAAGGAGUACGGUUAGGGUAGCGGUUAAAUGCGUUGAUCCUUACUGGACUAACGAUAGCGCAGGCACCUUACGAGAACGGAUCUGACAGUGAGGGAUGAAGGCUAGGGUCGCAAAACGGAUUAGAUACCCGUGUAGUCCUAGCAGUAAACACUGCACACUAAACAUCGGUCCCUCUUCGAGAGGUAUCGGUGCUGUAGGGAAGCCGUAGAGUGUGCUACCUGGGAAGUAUAGUCGCAAGACCGAAACUUAAAGGAAUAGGCGGCGGGAUACUACAACCAGUGACGCGUGCGGUUCAAUUAGAUUCUACACCGUGAACCUCACCAGGAUCGACAGCAGAAUGAAGGUCAGUCUGAAGGGCUUACCUGACACGCUGAGAGGAGAUGCAUGGCCAACGUCAGCCUGUGUCGUGAGAUGAUCUGUUAAAUCAGGUAACAGGCGAGACCCGUAUACAUAUUUGCAAG